rnacentral:rRNA from 1 species
GACGAACGCUGGCGGCGUGCUUAACACAUGCAAGUCGAACGGAAAGGCCCUGCUUUUGUGGGGUGCUCGAGUGGCGAACGGGUGAGUAACACGUGAGUAACCUGCCCUUGACUUUGGGAUAACUUCAGGAAACUGGGGCUAAUACCGGAUAGGAGCUCCUGCUGCAUGGUGGGGGUUGGAAAGUUUCGGCGGUUGGGGAUGGACUCGCGGCUUAUCAGCUUGUUGGUGGGGUAGUGGCUUACCAAGGCUUUGACGGGUAGCCGGCCUGAGAGGGUGACCGGCCACAUGGGGACUGGGAUACGGCCCAGACUCCUACGGGAGGCAGCAGUGGGGAAUAUUGCACAAUGGGCGGAAGCCUGAGGCAGCAACGCCGCGUGCGGGAUGACGGCCUUCGGGUGGUAAACCGCUUUCGCCUGUGACGAAGCGUGAGUGACGGUAAUGGGUAAAGAAGCACCGGCUAACUACGUG